GUACGUAGUCGACAGAAGAAGCACCGGCUAACUCCGUGCCAGCAGCCGCGGUAAUACGGAGGGUGCGAGCGUUAAUCGGAAUUACUGGGCGUAAAGCGCAUGCAGGCGGCCUGUUAAGUCAGAUGUGAAAGCCCGGGGCGUUAACCUCGGAAUUGCAUUUGAAACUGGCAGGCUAGAGUCUUGUAGAGGGGGGUAGGAAUUUCAGGUGUAGCGGUGAAAUAGCGUAGAGAUCUGAAGGAAUACCAGUGGCGAAGGCGGCCCCCUCGGACAAAGACUGACGCUCAGAUGCGAAAGCGUGGGGAGCAAACAGGAUUAGAUACCCUGGUAG
rnacentral:rRNA from 1 species